ACUCCGUAGCGGGAGGCAGGCAGUGGGGAAUAUUGCACAAUGGGGGAAACCCCUGAUGCAGCCAUGCCGCGUGUGUGAAGAAGGCCUUCGGGUUGUAAAGCACUUUCAGUAGGGAGGAAGGUAGUGUAGUUAACACCUGCACUAUUUGACGUUACCUACAGAAGAAGCACCGGCUAACUCCGUGCCAGCAGCCGCGGUAAUACGGAGGGUGCGAGCGUUAAUCGGAAUUACUGGGCGUAAAGCGCAUGCAGGCGGCCUGUUAAGUCAGAUGUGAAAGCCCGGGGCUUAACCUCGGAAUUGCAUUUGAAACUGGGUAGGCUAGAGUCUUGUAGAGGGGGGUAGAAUUUCAGGUGUAGCGGUGAAAUGCGUAGAGAUCUGAAGGAAUACCAGUGGCGAAGGCGGCCCCCUGG
rnacentral:rRNA from 1 species